UUGGAAGUAAGGGGCCUAACCCAACACCUGAAAAACCCCCAUACAGAGGUAUGUCUGGAUACUUCUGUCUAUAUAGUGUAAAUCACGUGUGUUUAUAUCACGUCUCCUAUUUGUAAGGCAUUACAUUAAAAUAGUUCACACAAAUGUCUCUGUAUUAAAUGGUCAGGAUCAUUGGCUUGUAGAACAGUAGUACUGGUUAUGUUUACAGGGAUUGUAAGAUAAGACAAGAUAGGCCUUUAUUAGUCCUGUACUGGGGCAAAAAUAAAGGUGAAGGUAGGUCGAGCAAAUUGUGUCUAAAUCUGAAUAAUUUUAUGGCUUGUGAAGAAUCUGACUCAGUCUAAUUCUUGAAUCCCAUAGGGUAUACAUGAGCAGGUUUCAGGAGGACUUUGUGCAGGUCUGUUACUGACAUGUAUGACUGAGCCCUUUAACUCUGAAAUGCUGCGGCUUCAGCCCCUCCGGCCCCUGAGCCUGUAGUAUAUACACCCAUUCUCUAUAGUGAAGCACCAAUAACACAAACAAAGUAGCAUUAGGGAAAUUAAGAUAUCUGGAAUCUAAACAAAAACAAAAUUUGAACCAUGGCAUUAAUGCCAUGAAUUGCCAAAUAUCCCGGAAGACUGUAUCCAAACAUUUGAGCUCGGAAGUUUAUUCUACAUCUUUGGGAACAGUAUUAUAAACCUUGCAAGCUGACCUUUAAGCUUAGUUCACUCUAGUAUAUUAACAAAAUGUAUACAAUACACUACUCUCCACUACAACUCUGUGUGAUCUAAACUUAACACAUAAAUAAUAGAUUCAAUAGUUACACAACUACAUAACUCUAAGAGCCUUUUAUAUUGUUUAUAAUGUCCAGAUUUAUAUUCUGAUCAGCAUUUUCUUGUCCCAUAUGGCUCCAUAUUUCAUACUCCAUGUUCCAUGGUCAGUUUUCAAUUACUCACAGAUGUUUACAAGCCUACUUACUACAUUGUACAUAUUUGACUUCUUUCUCCGUUUGAUGUAAUUUAUCAGUUAUAAUGCUCCUUUUUUUUCAUUUUUGUAUUCUUUUAUAUAAUAAAUACAUAAUUAUCAGUCUAUGAAGACGGAUAUGAAGCAACUGACGAAUGCUAAAGUACAUGUGACUAAAUUUCUUUUUAUCUUAAACUUGUCAACAAAAAAGAUCAUUAAAGAUGACUGCUUUUUGACAAAAUAAAUUAAUAAAUAACAGUUGAAUGUCACUGGAGAAAGAAAAGAACAAAAAUACAAAACAUAUAGGAGUAGAUCUGGUCUUGCAGAUCAGCGUUUGAACGAAAAGGAGUGGAGAUGCCGGGGAUUGAACCCGGGGCCUCAUACAUGCAAAGCAUGCGCUCUACCACUGAGCUACAUCCCCUACUGGAAGCACACGGCAUGGUAAGGGCUAUAUAUAGAUGCCAUCGAUUCUGUGACUCUGCAACAGGAGACGACAUUUCAGCAAGUUAUUUUUGUGGGGCUUGGGACCAAGUUAUGUAAUUUAGGGUCACAAUUUUAUCCCGGUUUCCACCCUUGACCCAGCGAUUACUUACGGCAUUUCUUCUCUCUGUCAGUCAGUUGUGUCACUUCUGAACGUGUUCAUAAAAUCUCCUAAGCGCUCUACCUCCACAGGCUGGUGCUUUGUAAACAAAAGAAGUGCACUGACGUCGGGGUGAAUGAAUGGAAAGGAAGCUGGUGUAUUUGUAGCUAAGUUUUCUUUGAUUUAAUCCUUGUUUGGUGCUAUUUAUAGCCUGCCGGUCGUGUUUUCGUUUCAGUCAGGCUCGCCUUCUUCCCACGCAAACUUAGAGAGAACGGAACCCUUUGGUGAGGAUGGGGGGCAAAUGUCAGGAAAGGCAGAUGGACUAGUAAACCUACUACAUAAUGUUCCCCCAAAUUCAGUUCUUUCUCAUCACCCAAGACACCCUGGUCUUUGGGGGAUUGAGAAAAGCUCCCUGAUUGUUUUUCAUCCUCCAGGGAAGCGUGAACGAGGGGCUGUCACCCCCCCCCGGAGAGCACAGUCUGUCCUCACUCAUGUUGUGUUUAUCAGCACACCCCUUGCCAAGGACACUACUUCCAGGCUCUGUUUGCUGAUGCCUUGUAGGGACAGACCCAUGGGAUGCACGCAUGGCAUGAAGGCUUUAGCAGGGCUGAAGGAGUGAACAGGAAGUAAGGAACAAGAGACAGGGUGAGGGACUACCUUACCCCUCCAUCUGCAGAAUGAUGAACACCCUCAGAAGAAGGGAGGCACGGGCACUGGUUGAUCUCAUCUAUGUUGUUGUUAUGUCAAUUUGGAUUAGUAACAGGAACCUAAACACUGGGGCUGUGCUGAGCAAGGAAUAGCACACAAGCGUGAUGUGUGUGUGUGUGGAGCAGGGGUUAUCUUGGGACUGUUGAGGGCAGCAUGUGCAGACAGGCUGUAUGUCAUAUGAGAUGCAGAAAGAAAUUCUUUAUCUAAGACCACAGACCUCCGGACGUUACAGUGGACAGUACCAAAGGAAAGAUGAUGUGUUAAUGUGAAAACACACAGUAUGCAAGUGAAAAUCACACAUUACAUGAUUAAAUUGUUAAUAGUGUCACGUUUUACUGAGAUGGUGGUUUUGGCUAACUUUGAGGAGUCUUGAAAAUGUCACAUAAAGUAGUAGAUCCCUAUUGUGAUUGAUGUAGAACAAACGCUGAGUUUAUAAACAAGUUAUUAAGUUAAUUUCUUGUUGAUUCACUGAUUGGUUCAUCAACAUAAUAUUAUUUAAAGUCAAAUCUUAAUCUGAAAAGUACAAAAUGAUGUAAAAAUUAUUGGCUGAUGAUGUUUCCCCCCGAAAUAUAGUUAAAUGUAAAUGUGUGCAGUUGUCAUGUAUGACACCUGGUAAAUACAUUUCAAUCCAUCUCUCUGCUCAAGGAGUAUUCGAACACUGUUCACUUGGUGCAGAGUUUGAAAGACAGAUUUGGUCAUAUAAAUAAAAAGUAAACAAUAUAACAAUGUCACUCAGCAGUAUAUUCAUAUAAUGCUCAAUAAUGUGCAGCUCACAGUGGAGAAGGCAUGUAAAAGAGGUGGCUCCCUCUUCAGCUUCUUUUAUCAUCAACACCAGAAAAAAAAAUCAACGUGUUUAAUUCAGAAUGUUUAUGAACGGUUAUGUUUAUGUUAUGUUUGUGAUGUUGAACGAGACACACCCCACUGCUGCUGAGAAGGCUGCGACUAAGAAUACUUUAAGCUCUGAGCUAAGUGCAGCAAGAAAAGCCCCAGAGAAUUUCUUUCUUGCACAUAACUCCCUGUGAAGCUACCACUAGAGGCUCUAGUAAUGAACCCACCAGCAGAAUCCUUUGGUCCUCUGCUCACCUUUCCUGUAGCACUACACACACACACACACACACCACCCCCAUCAGUAUGAACUGGGAUCAUUUUGAUGAUCUUCAUCUCGUACCAUCAGCAGAGUACUGUAGCUGUACAGAGAUAUGGAACCUGAACAGCCCCCAUGUCAUAUACAGGUAAUGUACACGGCUGCUGGCACUGUAAGGUAGUGCUAACGCAGGAAUGAGGUCUGACCCAGUAUCUUCUGGGGCUGUCGUCUUAUCAUUUGUCAGCAGCCAGCUAUGCUGGGGCAGAGAGGCCGGAGAGAAGAGAGGAAAGAGAGGCACCAAAAAUAAAGGCUGUGGAGCACAUGAAAAGGAGAUAUAACAAGGACCUCACAGAAGGGAGAAGAGUGGACACAUCUUUACUGUUUUCUUUUGCUUUUCUUUUGUGCUUUUGUUGUUUCCAGAGUUUCUCCGUUUAAAAUGAAUCCAUACAGAUAGCUAGAUUCUGUUGCUAUCUGCUCGCUAACAAGUUACUUCAUUGUCUGUUUCAAGUGUCAACACACACUACAGACCUCCUAAGUCAACUUGUCCAUUGCCCCACCUCUGUCUUUAACCACAAACAAAACAGAAGCCAUUUAAAUUUUUACACAUGCUUUGGAUAGCUGUGUCAUGUGGGGCAAGGACAGGCAUGCUGCUAAACAAGAGCUGCACGUGUUGUGUGUGUGUGUUUGUGUCCAUGUUCAUGAAAAUGGACAGAAGAAAGAGAGAGAGAGAGAGAGAGAGAGAGAGAGAGAGAGAGAGAGAGAGAGAGUGACCUUUCACCUAUUUGUCCAACCAGCUUGGAAAACUGUGGGAAUGCUGUGAAGCCUGGCGACUUGUAAAAGCUCUGGUAUGGAUAAAAGAGAGGUAGACAAUAGGAAGCUGUAACAAGUGUAUUCAAGCCUCACGUAUUUGCAAGGUGAUUGUGAUCACAUCCAUUAAAGGAUAAUUGCUACAAAUAUUUUGAAUGGCAUGUGUUGUGAAUCAUGUCAUCGGGUACGAGACGAACAUGACAUAACAAACUCCUCUCAGCCUGUGACUUCAUAUGAUUAGUUUGAGAGCACAAACAUUAACACAAGCACAGAUGCACAGACUGUUCUUGCUAAAUGUUUGUGUUCACUGUGUAACCAGGGUUUGAAUAUCAUCAUCACCACAGGCUGAAUACGUGUCGUUGUGUGUGUGCGUGUGUGUGUGUGCGUCUGCAUGAGUUGCCUAGCACCUGGUAACUGUAUAGGUCGAAACCUUAUCAUUCUGCCUUUAGAAAGCUCAUGCUGUGCUGGACUCUUGGUUAUCGUCUCUCACCAGUGUGGUAAUAACACGACAAAGUCAAAGUCUGUGGCAGAAAAAGUAGCUUAAUCCAUGUGAGACACAGGCAUCUGGAGACACAACCCUGUUAGGUGUGGCUCAGAUGAUUUCAGUUUGCAUUCAAGACAGCCUGUGACACAGCCAGGUAUUAUUGAUUACUCACACACAUUCAUGUGUAUUAUGAAACAUGACAUGACAGCACAGGAAACUGAGUGCGAUGAACAGACCUUAAGCAAAGCAAUGGAAUUUUGGCUUCAUUGUCAUAAAGUACACACCCAGAGGUCUGCCAAUUAACUGAGCUCAAAGUUAGUGUACAGUAGACUUUACUCAGAAUAAGCAUUGUCCUUAUAGUGAGUAAAGUAUUCCAUAUUUAGUAUGGGUAUUCUACUAUCCAUAUGCAGUAUUUCUUCAGCGCUUACUGUAUUUUCUUGACUAGUAUCCAAUUGUUCCUUUAGGCAGCAGGAGCAAAUUGAAAGCUUAUCUUCAACAAAAAAACACCAUAACAUUUAAAUGGUAUAAUAAAAUAAAUAUUUUACUAUAAAUAUACAUGCACCAGGAUUGCAAACCAACCUCAACUGGCAUAACACUUUAUUUUAUUCCAAGAAUACAGUCAUAACUAAAGACACUAUAGAUUUCUAUCAUUUACCAGGUCAAACUCACAGAUUAUUCCAAAAUUCAAACUGAUUCUAGUUGUAAAAAUUAAAAUAUGGUACAUUACAGGGUAAUGUGUGCCUGAGUGAGCUGUCCAGGUCUGUACAGAUUAGUGUGGUUCCUCACGGAUAUUGAAAGCUAGUUGUGAUGACCAGACUUUAGAGAUAAUUAGCCUAUAAAUAAUGCAGUUGUUUCCAGCUUUUCAAAAGAAUUCUCACUCUAACAAUAAGCCCUGCUGCAUACUGAUGUGCAUAUGUGCAGACUUGAUCCAAACACAAAAUGGGAUGAUCUUUCACCUAGAAAAACACACAGAUAAUUUAACAAAUAUACUCAGUCAUAUCAACAGUCACCAGUUUGCACAAUCUGCUGUAAUAAAAGGCACAGGGUAUCCUGAAAGCUUUACAUACUGACCACCAGGGGUUUUCAUAACCUCUCCACAGCUCAUUGGUUACUCAAAUGCUGCAUUCAGAAAAAGCACAUCCAAUUGGCUGAUGUAGACUGAGUGGCACGUGAAGGUCCUCCCCACCGAGGCGGAGUGAAAAGA